rnacentral:rRNA from 1 species
AUGCCCCUCUGUGCUCGCGCGCUCUGCUUAAUGGUGCUCGCGCCCUCCAAUCCGGCGCCCGCCUGCCGCGGCUCGACAGCGUUCCGCCCCCACGGGGCCCACCACCUCCUCCUCCCCCACGUCGGCCGCCUCCUCGCCUGCCGCGCGCCGCCCCUGCCCCGCACCACCGCCCGCCUCCGCCCGCUCCGGAUGUCGGCCUCCAACCACUCCGGCGCCGGCGCCAGCUCCCCCUCCGCCCCCUCGCCGCCCCCGGCCCUCGCGGUGAGUCUGAUGCAUCCUCCUCCUCCUCACGCGUCCGUCCGUAUGAUGUCUUACCGUGCCGGCAUCGAUGGUGUCGGAGCUGAGAUGCUGGGGCCGUACAAUAGUUGCCGUGGAUGGAUGGAACACCUAGUGCGUUGA